UUGGAGGGCAAGUCUGGUGCCAGCAGCCGCGGUAAUUCCAGCUCCAAUAGCGUAUAUUAAAGUUGUUGCAGUUAAAAAGCUCGUAGUUGAAUUUCGGGAUUGACGUGAUGGUCGUGCCUUAAGGGGUAUGAACUGUCGCAGUUGAUUUCUCACCUUCUGGAAAAGCACGAUGUCCUUAAUUGGGUGUCAUGUGGAACCAGGACCUUUACCUUGAAAAAAUUAGAGUGUUCAAAGCAGGCAUUUUGCUCGAAUACAUUAGCAUGGUAUAAUAGAAUAGGACGGCAUGGUUCUAUUUUGUUGGUUUCUAGGAUCGCCGUAAUGAUUAAUAGGGAUAGUUGGGGGCAUUAGUAUUCAAUUGUCAGAGGUGAAAUUCUUGGAUUUAUUGAAGACUAACUACUGCGAAAGCAUUUGCCAAGGAUGUUUUCAUUAAUCAAGAACGAAAGUUAGGGGAUCGAAGACGAUCAGAUACCGUCGUAGUCUUAACCAUAAACUAUGCCGACUAGGAAUCAGACGAUGUUAAUUUUUAAUGACUC
rnacentral:rRNA from 1 species